GCUCCUUGGGCGAAUUUACAGUUUAGGGAAAGAGAAGUGCUGUCUCACUUCGAAUCAGACCCCAGGCUGGCAUCCAAUGAGACGAGAGCUUAGAGGCAACAUCUAUUUGGUAUUCCUUUGGCGGUACGGUUUGUUGAUGCAGUGUUAAAUUAAGCGCCAUUAAUUCAUUGUGAAAACAAGCCUCAGAGAAUGGUAUGGAAUUUACAGUUUCUUCCUCUGAAUUAAUGUUGCAUGGUAACACUUUAUUUUAAGAAUAAUUAAUGCCAACCCAACGGUGGAGAACAAUCCCCGAUGCUUCGUUGGAAAGGCGCGAGCCGUGCACCUCCGUGCGGAAUUUUGGCGAGGCAACGGAACGUUUCUGUGGCGACGGCAUCGCUCUGUGUCCAGAGGGCUCCGAGUUUCCUGAGAACGAUAUGUGGGGUCCUCCGGGUCUGAUCUGUUAAUAAAUGGCUUUAGGAGAAUCCCCACCUCCUUUGGAGGGGGGCCCGGAGGAGGGGAAAAGAGAUUCCUCACUACCGAGCUCAAAGACAGUAGCCACGGCAGACGCGCAGGGAGAAGCGAGUGGCCAUAUUUGAAUGCUCCAACGUGUUUCUGUGGAGAUAGAGGGAGAGCCGGUACUGAAUCGGCUCCUGCUGCUGCUGUUGUUCACCAACGAGUGAGAAUAUGAACCGAGGGCAUUAAUAGGAGGCCCAGAGAACUGGGGUCACAAAAGUCGCCCCACUUGACACUCCUCCUCCUCCUCCUUGGGAACAUGUUUCAACCAUGAAGCACGUGCAGUUCAUUUGCACCAGAACCAGACGAAAGAUCUCUGAAUCCGGACUCCUUCCUAAAUACCUUGUUUUCCCAAGUCAUCUUGUUCUAAGACCGUGAACCUUUGCUUGCGUUAUCUGAGCUGACUUCUAACAGCCGGAAACUUCAAAGAGGAAUAUCUUCCAGGAAGAAAAGGUUUCUCUUUCCGAUGUCACGAGAGGCAAGUUCUCUGAAAGUACUGCAUUUCCCCACCUCAGGGAAAUCAACUUGCGAAGGGAAAUUGAAGCCAAAGGAGGGGCACCUUAUUAAGAAAAUAACUGCUUUGG